AACGACGUCCAUAAUCUAUACAAUAAUUUGUCACCUAUUAGUGAGGCGUAGCCCAUUAACGUGCGACAUUACUUAAACCGCUUUCUUAGUAAAUUCCGAAGGUGCAUCAAUGAAGUGAGACAAAACUCGACACACGGGAAGUCGAAGCGAAAAUAGAAUAACGUGAAUGAGUAGGUUAAACUCGAGUUUCUUAUCGAAUGCGCUCCGUUCAGAAAGUUGGUUUAUUUGUUACUCGAAAGUGGUUACGCCUAUAUUCCUCAAACAUAACUCAGUUGGUUCUGACCAGAAACACGUGAGCGUACCAUAACAACUUUUUCGUGAUAAUUUUGUGCACCUGUUGAUCACUUCAAGAUGGCAAACUUACUCAAUUCAAUAAUUUGGUUCAUCAUAUUGAUAGUUGUAUCAUUUUGGAUAGCUGGAUUUUGUGCUGGCCUUUACAUAUUUGUCCACCCACUUAGCGUCUGCAUUCCACCAUUAUCGGGACUGAGUGACUUUCUACUAACGGUGAUUCAAUUUCCUCAUUAUUGUGCCAAGAAGAUGAUGAGCGGCGAACCUUUAGGUUAAUUCGUGCACUGAUAUAAGUAUCUUAAAAAGUGUUCAUUUAUCAAUUUGUCUGAUACGUACAAAAUAUAAAUAUUUUAUACUUUUGAUGUUAUUUCUAAUAAAACUCUAAAUCUUCACUGCUGCCGCAAA
rnacentral:misc_RNA from 1 species